AAUCCGAAGCAGGCUCCAGGCUCUGAGCUGCCAGCACAGAGCCCGAUGCGGAGCUCGAACUCGCGGACGGUGAGAUCAUGACCUGAGCUGAAGCAGGAUGCCCAACUGACUGAGCCAGCCAGGCGGCCCGCCUUUACCCUUUUCACGUCUACAGUUUGGAACCAGUGACCUUGAAGGACAAGGUUGUGUACUUCAUCCAGAAGCGAUGGGCCAGCCUGAUGCCUGCUCAGAAGCCCCUGCCUGAGAUUUGAUGUUGGAGAUUUAUGGGACUGUAGCCUCUCUAGGUAAGGCCUCUCUUUCCUCUAGGACUCAGUCUCUGUACUUUGGAGUUUCCUGGUUCCAUUCCUCUUGUGAGCUGAGGUGUCUCUCCUCAGUUGUUACCGUUGUUGUUUUAAUGUUUCUUUAUUUUUGAGAGAGAGAGACAGAGUGCAAGCAAAGAGGGCCAGAGAGAGAGGGAGACACAGAAUCCAAAGCAGGCUCCGGGCCCCGAGCUGUCAGCACAGAGCCCAACAUGGGGCUUAAACCCACAAACCACGAGAUCGUGACUUGAACAGAAGUCGGAUGCCCAACCGACUGAGCCACCUAGGCGCAUUGGUUCUCUUUAGUAUUAAAACAGACGUCCCCAACUCCCUAGUUAGAGGCUCUGCUCUGGGAAAAAUGGGAAGUGAAAAGUUCCCUGAUGCCCUCCUUAAACCUCAUCCUUGUUUUCUUGAGAGGACCAUCUUGGUCCUCCACUGCUACUCCUCUAUUUUAGCACACACUCAGAUAGGGCCCCAUAAGUUCAGUUUCUUCCUUAGUAAGACAGUUGGGCUCUUGCUUGUUUUAAAAGUUUAUUUAUUUUGAGAGAGACAGAGUCAGUGAGCAGGGGAGGAGCAGAGACAGGGGAACAGGAUCCAAAGUGGGUUCCACGCCGACAGCAGAGAGCCUGAUGUGAGACUUGAACUUGCAAACUGCGAGAUCAUGACCUGAGCUGAAGUCGGGUGCUCGACUGACUGAGCCACCCAGGUGCCCCUGUUGGGCUCCUUCUUUAGAAGGCUCCUCUUUCCCUAAGGCCCACCUACCUUGUUCUCCUGGGUGGUCAGUUCCCUUUCCACUUGCUAAAAACAGAGGAGGGGCUAGAAGGAGUUCCAGAGUCAGGUCUGAUUCCCAGCCCCCUCCUGUUCUGAUAGCCCUGCGGGGGCACGGAGAGGUACCACGGGUCCGGACCCCUGGGCACAGGCUGACACAAGGGUCCUGAGAGAUGUCAGUGCAGGUGAGUAGGAGGACCUGUGAGCUGCCCUCCCUACUCAGUCUCUCCCUUUGUUUUAAUCAUUUAUCACCCAAAGGGGUUUUCUUUCUCAAAUGGCUGCUGUGGGGGAUGAAAAUGGUUACUCUUUUUUUUUUUUUAAGCUUAUUUAUUUCGAGACAGAGAAAGAGUACGAGCGGGGAGGGGCAGAGAAAGAGGGAGAGAGAGAAUCCCAAGUAGGAUCUCUACUGUUAGUGCAGAGCUCGAUGCGGGGCUCGAACUCACAAACUAUGAGAUCAUGACCUGAGCCGAAGCCAGACGCUUAACCAGCUGAGCCAUCCAGGCGCCCUGACAAUAGUCACUCUUAAACAGAAGUGUUGUAGUGGGGCUCCUGGGUGGCUCAGUCAGUUAAGCAUCCGACUUCAGCUCAGGUCAUGAUCUCGCGGUCUGUGAGUUCGAGCCCCACGUCGGGCUCUGUGCUGACAGCUCAGAGCCUGGAGCCUGCUUCAGAUUCUGCGUCUCCCUCUCUCUCUGCCCCUCCCCUGCUCAUGCUCUGUCUGUCUCUGUCUCAUAAAUAAAUAAAAACAUUAAAAAAAAAUUAAAAAAAGAAAACCAAACAGAAGUGUUGUAGAACAUUUGGCGAAGGCUCACUGGAGCACCAGCCCUGAACUGGAAAGGACAGUCCCCAGGGAUGCAUGCGUGCGAGAGUUCUGCACAUUCUGCCACAUAUUUGUGUUGCCCUCCUCCCUCCCCGCCCCCCCCAUACGUUUUUUCAUGUAAUGGGAUAUGUUAAUGUUCUACUCUUUUCAACACAAAGGUGUAUUUUAAUUACAAUUAGAGGAAUAUAGUCUUCCGUGAACUAGCCUGGGGGAACAUACGUAACAUUAUCAUUCAUUGUUUCUAUGAGAACAUGUAAGGUCACUAAACGUUGAACGUUUUGAGGCAUUCAUGGUCAUAACUGGGAUGGAAAUUAGCUUUCUUCAUUUGAAAGAAGUCCAUUAAGAAAGAUUUUUUAAAAAUCCAGAGAGUAUUUUGUGGCCUUUCCUAUUCUUGUCAGUCUAUUCCAAUUUCUCAAAUUAUACAGAGUUUUCAUAUAGCAUUUCUCCUUCUAAUUCAGCCCUACUGUUACCUUGAAGCAGUCCCUUCUCAGGAAGGACCCCAUUCUAGGAAGGACUUAAGACUAUUUUGGUGAGAAAACUUCCCUGCAUCUACUGUGAAUUCUCUUUUUGGGUUUCUAUGUAGCCUGUUAAUGACCUUCACAGGGGGAUUCAGGGGGCUUUUCUUCCAUUUGUUUAUAAUGGGUAUGCAAUAGGUAGAAUUCAAGAGAAAAAUCAAAAUUCAAGCUUAGUGCAUCCAGAUGUAGUUUGAGUCAAUCCCAGAUCAUCUCUAAGAAAAACCAUUAAACUGUAGGAAAAAAGACAAUGAUUUUGAUUUCUGGAAAUUAUAUUUAUUGGCUGUGUUUUCCUGUAGUGAUUAGGAAGAAAACUUUUUUUUUAAGUUUAUUUAUGUAUUUAUUUUGAGAGAGAGAGAGAGAGAGCACAAGCAGGGGAGGCUCAGAGAGAGGAGAGACAGAAUCCCAAGCAGGCUCUACAUCGUCAGCGCAGAGCCCCAUGCAGGGCUCAGACUCGAACUGUGAGGUUGUGACCUGAGCUGAGACCAAGAGUUGGUGGUCACUUGACUGUGCCACCUAGGUGCCCCAGGAAGAAAACUUCUACGUAGAGAGGAUCUUUGGUGCAGCAAGUAGGGGUCCAGGGAAGCUAGGGACGCACCAUGUUUUUUCACAGUCUGUAGGAGAGAGGAACCCCUGAAAAACCAUUGUGUUGUAGCCAUUUAGAGCAGGAGAGAAAAAUAUGGGAUCUCUGGGGUCCUGUUUGGUGGACAGGAAUUUGCCCUGCUCAUGACCCAUCAUAUGGGGACAGGAAUACUGGGAAGGCUGAGACUCUGUGCCUUGAAUUGUUUGUACUAGUCCUUCGUGGGCCGAUGGUUUAUUUAUAAAGAACUUGAUUGUGGGAGUAAAUUUCAGAAACCUAUUCUGCAGUGAGUUAGUGGUUUUUUAUCAAUGACAAGACAAGAUAGAAUAAGAGCCCAUCUAGAAGAAUGCAUUAGAUAUUAUACGGGAAAGAUAACAUCUUUGAUGGAGAGAAAAACUGUACAGAAAAACUGUACAGAUAAGAAAAAAAAUGUAAAUGAUUGCCUCCUCAGCACUUGACCGAAAACGAUUUUUUUCAGGUACUCAAGGACUAAUGGAAUUAAUUUUGGAAAUAGGAUUUAAGCUUACAGUCAGAACAGGAACAUUGGGUAAAUGGUAGCAAAAUGAAAGAAGAUAAGCUAACUGAGCAGGAAGAAAAGGAAUUUCCUUGAAGAAAGUUCAAGUCCAUAAAAGCCAGGCCAGGCAGAUAUAAAAGGGAGCAGGGAAUUCAUACAUAUAUAUAAAAUGUGUGUAUAUAAAAUGUGUGUGUAUAUAUAUGUAUAAUGUAUGUAAUGUAUAAUAUACAUGUAUAUAAACUGGCCCUGAAGAUGUGACUAAACAUCAUUAUUGGAGCAUGUGCUCAGCGACAGAAGGAAGAAUGAGGAGGACAUAGUGUCCAGAAAAGCAUGGGUCCACUGUGGGGAAAUUGUGAAGACUCACUAUGACAGUUGUGCAACAGGACUGGAAACUUGUGUCCUCAUACUGUUAGAGUGGGCAGUUAGUUAGGUUCUAACAGGAUACUUGGAGGCCAGCCCCGAGGAAGUCAUGGCCAGCUAUUGGGAAGGUCAGAGGCCUGUCCUGGCACCACUCCACCACAAGCCAGAUCAAACCAGACAGACCCAAGAUGGCGGAUGCCAUGACAGGAAACUCCUGAUCAAAUUAGAAGAAGAAGCUCUAAACACUGCUUCCUUCCCCAGGUAAUGAAUAUUACACCCCUAGUUAACAACUGUCAAUCAAAGAUAGAAACUGAAUCCCCUGGGCAUGCAACUCUCCCUCUCUCUCUUUCUCUCGCCCACUCUCACAUCUUGAGUGUACUUUUCGCUUUAAUAAACUUUUCCACUUGUGUCA